UGAACGCUGGCGGCGUGCCUAAUACAUGCAAGUCGAGCGAACGGACGAGAAGCUUGCUUUUCUGAUGUUAGCGGCGGACGGGUGAGUAACACGUGGAUAACCUACCUAUAAGACUGGGAUAACUUCGGGAAACCGGAGCUAAUACCGGAUAAUAUUUUGAACCGCAUGGUUCAAAAGUGAAAGACGGUCUUGCUGUCACUUAUAGAUGGAUCCGCGCUGCAUUAGCUAGUUGGUAAGGUAACGGCUUACCAAGGCAACGAUGCAUAGCCGACCUGAGAGGGUGAUCGGCCACACUGGAACUGAGACACGGUCCAGACUCCUACGGGAGGCAGCAGUAGGGAAUCUUCCGCAAAGGGCGAAAGCCUGACGGAGCAACGCCGCGUGAGUGAUGAAGGUCUUCGGAUCGUAAAACUCUGUUAUUAGGGAAGAACAUAUGUGUAAGUAACUGUGCACACCUUGACGGUACCUAAUCAGAAAGCCACGGCUAACUACGUG
rnacentral:rRNA from 1 species